UCGACUGGUCCAUUGAGAUAUACUGUUGU
rnacentral:piRNA from 1 species